rnacentral:rRNA from 1 species
GCGGCCUAUCAGCUUGUUGGUGAGGUAAUGGCUCACCAAGGCGACGACGGGUAGCCGGCCUGAGAGGGCGACCGGCCACACUGGGACUGAGACACGGCCCAGACUCCUACGGGAGGCAGCAGUGGGGAAUAUUGGGCAAUGGACGAAAGUCUGACCCAGCGACGCCGCGUGCGGGAUGAAGGCCUUCGGGUUGUAAACCGCUUUCAGCAGGGAAUAAGCGAAAGUGACGGUACCUACAAAAGAAGCACCGGCUAACUAUGUGCCAGCAGCCGCGGUAAUACAUAGGGUGCAAGCGUUGUCCGGAAUUAUUGGGCGUAAAGAGCUCGUAGGUGGUUUGUUACGUCGGUUGUGAAAUUCAGGGGCUCAACCCCUGACUUGCAGCCGAUACGGGCAAGCUAGAGUUUGGUAGGGGAGACUGGAAUUCCU